CCUACGGGCGGCAGCAGUGAGGAAUAUUGGUCAAUGGGCGCGAGCCUGAACCAGCCAAGUAGCGUGAAGGAUGACUGCCCUACGGGUUGCAAACUUCGUUUAUAAAGGAAUAAAGUGAGGCACGUGUGCCUUUUUGUAUGUACUUUAUGAAUAAGGAACGGCUAACUCCGUGCCAGCAGCCGCGGUAAUACGGAGGUGCCGAGCGUUAUCCGGAUUUAUUGGGUUUAAAGGGAGCGUAGAGGGGUUGUUAAGUCAGUUGUGAAAGUUUGCGGCUCAACCGUAAAGUUGCAAUUGAUACUGGCAGCCUUGAGUACAGUAGAGGUAGGUGGAAUUCGUGGUGUAGCGGUGAAAUGCUUAGAUAUCACGAAGAACUCCGAUGGCGAAGGCAGCUUACUAAACUGCAACUGACACUGAGGCUCGAAAGUGUGGGUAUCAAACAGGAUUAGAUACCCGGGUAGUC
rnacentral:rRNA from 1 species